CUGUCUUCCUCCCCUCCUCCUAAAUGCGAGCGCUCACCUGUUCUGGCGGCUGACAAGGCUAAUGUAACGGAGGCCUCAGUGCGCGGAUGACCCAUGCAUGAGAAGAAUGAGAUCAGAGAGGAGGAUAAUUCUGCUGGCAGAGUCUCCUGCUGACGAUCACCACGAAUGGCUUACUUAUUGGAUUUAAUUUGCUCUGAUUACACUGUUUGAACUGAUAACCAUUGCCAAAGCCAUUGAGUGGUAAUUCUUUUUCUUUUUCAAAAUGUAGUUCCUAUGUUUUAUUUCACUUAUUUAUAUAUGGGUUUGCAUUGAAUGUGAUCAAAGGAGCAGUAUGGUUCUUUUUCAAAAUGAUUCAUAAAA